AGUUUUGUUUCCCACUAGCACUGCAUGGUUAAAAAAAAAAAAUCUAUAUUUCUCAGGCCCUUAGCCACUUUCUGGAAUUCACAAUAUUCUUAAGGAAUAAAUUGUCCCCAAUGCCAGGUUCUUUUCUGGGUUUUAUGUUUUCUCCUGACUAUUGGUGCAUUAUUUUCUCAAUGACUUCUUUCCUCAGUACCUCUGGGCUUUCUAUGACCUGUAUUUCCAUCCAGCAUCUGCGGAAAUAGAUGUUGAACUGUGUAAUGGAUGCUGGGAUGUACCACCUAGAAUCCUUUUCAUGAAUGAGCUCUUUCCAGAGGUACCACAUACACUGGUUAGUGACUGCUCGCAGCUGAGUUUUUCUCUGGAAAUGGCUCAGCUUAUGGCAGCUGCCUUGCCUGGGAAGAUAGCCUGAACUAAAUGAUUAGUUGAGAUGGGAGUAUGUCUCAGCCACAGUGACUCAAUUAGGACUUCUGUGAAGGGUCAUUUCAGCUUUGGAACUAGAGAUCUGCAAGGGACAUCUGUUGAAACUUCAUAAUGGUUCAGCUCUUCCCUCUGCCCAGUUCUGCUUUUCUUACUUCCUUACAGGUUUUGUUUUAGAAUACUUCCCAAUUAAUCUACUGUAGAGUUCCCGUCUGUUUCAUUUGCUUUUAAUAUAGUCAUCAUAUACAAUUUCUUUUUUGGUUAUAUUUAACUCAUUUGGGGGGAGAGGAAGUUAGUGUUGGAAGAAGUAGUUCAUUUGAGAGAAGUAAUAUAGUUUGACCUUGACAGAAGCAGUUAAGAUAUACUGUCUUUUGCUUCAGAGAGCAAUCUUUACUUUGUUUCACAUUCACUUUUUAAAACUGAGAUAUAAUUGACAUAUAACAUUAUACUCGUUUCAGUUAUAGGACAUUGAGAUUAGAUUUUUGUACAUAUUGUGUGCAAUGUUCACAAUUCUAGCGAAUAUCAAUUCACAUACAUACAAAUGUUCUUGUGAUGAGAACUUUCACAAUCUACUCUUAGCAACUUUCAAAUAUACAAUACAGUAUUAUUAACUAUAGUUACCAUGCUGCACAUUACAUCUCCAUACUUUAUAACUGGAAGUUUGUACCAUUUGACCGCCUUCACUCAUUUCACCCAACCCCCACCUGUAACCACCACCAAUCUGGUCUCUGUAUCUGAGCUCAGAUUUAAAAGAAAAAUUAGAUACCACAUACAAGGGAAAUCGUAUGGUAUUGUCUUUCUCUGACUUACUUCACUUAGCAUAAUUUAUGCCCUCAAGGUCCAUCCAUGUUGUUGCAAAUGUCAAGAUUUUCUUUUUUUUUUUUUUAUGGCUGAAUAUUCCAGUGUGUGUAUGUUAUAAAGCUGUUACGAACAUGGUAGUGUAGAUAUCCUCUUGAGUUAGUGUUUUUGUUUCCUUUGCAUAAAUACUCAGAAGCAAAACUGCUGGAUCAUGUGGUAGUCCUAUUUUUUUUUUUUUUUUUGAGGAUCCUCUAAUGUACUGUUUUCUAUAGUGGCUGCACCAAGUUACAGUCUCAUCUACAGUGCACAAAGAAAGAUUCCCUUUUCUCCACUCUUGUAACCCUUAUUUCUUUUUGACAACAGCCAUUCUAAUGAAUGUAAGAUACUGUCUCACUGUGGUUUUGAUUUACAUUUCCUUGAUUAGUGAUGGUGAGUACCUUUUCAUGUACUUGCGCCCCCCUGUAUAUCUUUUUGAAAAGUGUUCAAGUGCUCUACCCAUUUUUAAAAAGUUCUUUUUUAACGCUUAUUUAUUUUCAAGAGACAGAGAGAGAGCAGGAGUGGGGGAGGGUCAGAGAGAGAGAGGGAGACACAGAAUCCAAAACAGGCUCCAGGCUCCAAGCUGUCAGCACAGAGACUGAUGCGGGGCUCGAACUCACGAACCGCGAGAUCAUGACCUGAGCUGAAGUCGGACGCUCAACUGACGGAGCCACCCAGGCGCCCCUCUACCCAUUUUUAAAGUUUUCUUGCUAUUGAGUUGUGUGAAUUCUUUAUAUAUUUUGGACAUUAAUGCCUUACCAGAUGAUUUGCAAGUAUUUUUUUCCCAUUGUGUAGGUUGCGUUUUCAUUUUGUUGGUUUCCUUUACUGUGCAGAAGCUGAAUUUGAUGUUAUCCUAUUUAUUUUAUUGUUGUUGCCUUUGUUUUUGGUGUCAGAUCUAGAAAAUCAUUGCCAAGACCAAUGCCAAGAUUACCACCUAUGUUCUAGUUUUAUAGCUUUAGGUCUUAUGGUCAAGUCUCAAUCCACUGAGUUGGUUUUUAUAUGUGGUAGAAGAUAGUGGCCCAGUUUCUUUUUCUUUUUUUGCAUGUAGAUACCCAGUUUAACCAACACCAAUUAUUGAAGAGACUCUUUUCCCCAUUGUAUGUUCUUUUCUGUUUCUAAUUUUUCUAUUGUUUCAUUGAUCUGUAUACCUGCUUUUGUGCUAUUAUUUUGAUUACUAUAGCUGUGUAAUAUAGUUUGAAAUCAGAAAACAUGAUGCCUCCAGCUCUUGUUCUCAAGAUUGCUUUGGUUAGUGGCUCCUGGCUGGCUCCCGGCCGGCUCAGUCAGUGGAGUGUGCUACUCUUGAUCUUGGGGUUGUGGGUUUGAACCCCAUGUGGGGUGUAGAGAUUACUUGAAAAUAAAAUCUUAAAAAGAUUGCUUGGGCUAUUUGGGGUCUUUUGUGGUUCCACACAGAUUUUAGGAUUCUGUGAAAAAUGCCACCGAAAUUUAGAAAGGGAUUGUACUGCUGUAGGUUACCUUGGGUAGUGUGGACGUUGUUAUAGUUUUCGGUGUAUAGGUCUUCCCGUUUGGUUAAAUUCCUAUUUUGUUCUUUUUGAUGCAAAUGUAAAUGGGAUGAAGAAACUUCUCUGCUAGCUCAUUGUUAGUGUAUAGAAAUACAACUAUAUUCUGUUCUGUGUAUUGAUUGUACACUGGAACCUUACUGAACUUUAUUAGUUUCAGGUUUUUUGGUGGUCUGACCUGGUUGUUUUACUUUUUCCAAAGUCUAAUUGCUCUGGUAAGGGCUUUCAAUACUAUGUUGAAUAAAAGUGGGGAGAGUGGGCAUCUUUGUCGUUUCUGAUCUUAGAGGAAAAUCUUUGAGCUUUUCACUGAACAUAUCACACUUGUGAUAUAUGGCCUUUAUUAGUUGAGGUAUAUUCCUGCUAACCCACUUUGCUGAAUUUUUAUAAUGGCUAUUCAAUUUUGUCAGAUAUCAUUUCUGCAUCUAUUAAGAUGACCCUGUUUUUAUCCUUCGUAAUGAGAUGUAUGAUUAAUUUGUAGGUAUUGCACCACCCUUGCAUUCCUGGAGUAAAUCCCACUUGAUUAUGAUGUCUGAUCUGUCUAAUGUUGAAUUUUGUUAGUGUUUUGAGGACUUUUGCACCUAUGUUCAUGAUAUUGGCCUAUAAUUUUCUUGUGAUGUCCUUUUCUAGUCUAGUCCCAGGGUAAUGCUGGUUUUAUCAAAUGAGUUUGAAGUAUUCCCUCCUCUUCAAUUUUCUGGAAGAGUUUGAGAAGAUUAAGUAUGCUUAUUCAAAUGUUUGGUGGAAUUCACGCGUGGUGCUGUCUGGUCCUUGAUUUUUGUUUACUGGGAGGUUUUUGAUGACUGAGUUGAUCUAACUAGUAAUUUGGUCCCUUUAGAUUUUGUUUCUUAAUGAUUCAGACUUGGUAGGAAGUAUAUUUUGAGGAAUUUUCCAUUUCCUCUAGGUUGUCUGAUUUGUUGUACUAUAUUCACAGAAGUCGCUUAUGACCCUUUGCAUUUUGGUGGCGUAUCAUCCAGCUAAAGGUUUGUCAAUCUUUUCAAAAAACCAGCUCAUGGUUUCAUUGAUCUUUUCCUGUUUUUGUUUCACAUGUUUCCUCCCUGAUCUUUAUUCCCUUCCUUUCUACUAACUUUGGGCUUCGUUUUUUUUUUUUUUUUUUUUGUAGUUCCUGGAGUUGUAAAAUUAGGUUGAGAGCUUGUUUUUUUGAUAUAGGCAUUUACUGCUGUGAACUUCUCUUAGAGCUGCUCUUGCUGUAUCCCUGAAGUUUGGGUAUAUUGUAUUUCCAUUUGUCCCAAGGUAUGUUUUAAUUUCUUCUUUGAUCUAUUGGCUGUUCAGUAGCCUGUUAUCUAAUUUCCACAUAUUUGAAAAAUUUCCAGUUUGCUUCAUGUAAUUUUCUAGUUUCAUACUAUUGUCAGAAAAGAUACUUGGUAUUUCAAUUUUCUGCAAUUUAUUCUCUGCCCUAGUGUGGAAAUUAUUUUUUAUUAAAGCUUUCUGUGGUACAUGUGAUAUGUGUGCCUGGGAAGAAUGUGUAUUCUGUUACUUCUGGAGGGAAUGUUCUGUACAUGUCUGUUAAGGCCAAAGUCCCCUACUAUUGUUGUAUUACUAUUUCUCCCUUUAGGUCUGUUAAUAUUUGCUUUAUAUAUUUAGGUUGUGAUAUUUAGGGAUGUUCUAGCCUCUUGUUGGACUGAUA